UACGGAGGGUGCAAGCGUUAUCCGGAUUUACUGGGUUUAAAGGGUGCGUAGGUGGGUAGGUAAGUCAGUGGUGAAAUCUUCGAGCUUAACUCGGAAACUGCCAUUGAUACUAUUUAUCUUGAAUACUCUGGAGGUAAGCGGAAUAUGUCAUGUAGCGGUGAAAUGCUUAGAUAUGACAUAGAACACCAAUUGCGAAGGCAGCUUACUACAUAGUUAUUGACACUGAGGCACGAAAGUGUGGGGAGCAAACAGG
rnacentral:rRNA from 1 species